AGAGUUUGAUCAUGGCUCAGAUUGAACGCUGGCGGCAGGCCUAACACAUGCAAGUCGAACGGUAACAGGAAACAGCUUGCUGUUUCGCUGACGAGUGGCGGACGGGUGAGUAAUGUCUGGGAAACUGCCUGAUGGAGGGGGAUAACUACUGGAAACGGUAGCUAAUACCGCAUAACGUCGCAAGACCAAAGAGGGGGACCCUCGGGCCUCUUGCCAUCGGAUGUGCCCAGAUGGGAUUAGCUUGUUGGUGGGGUAACGGCUCACCAAGGCGACGAUCCCUAGCUGGUCUGAGAGGAUGACCAGCCACACUGGAACUGAGACACGGUCCAGACUCCUACGGGAGGCAGCAGUGGGGAAUAUUGCACAAUGGGCGCAAGCCUGAUGCAGCCAUGCCGCGUGUAUGAAGAAGGCCUUCGGGUUGUAAAGUACUUUCAGCGGGGAGGAAGGGAGUAAAGUUAAUACCUUUGCUCAUUGACGUUACCCGCAGAAGAAGCACCGGCUAACUCCGUGCCAGCAGCCGCGGUAAUACGGAGGGUGCAAGCGUUAAUCGGAAUUACUGGGCGUAAAGCGCACGCAGGCGGUUUGUUAAGUCAGAUGUGAAAUCCCCGGGCUCAACCUGGGAACUGCAUCUGAUACUGGCAAGCUUGAGUCUCGUAGAGGGGGGUAGAAUUCCAGGUGUAGCGGUGAAAUGCGUAGAGAUCUGGAGGAAUACCGGUGGCGAAGGCGGCCCCCUGGACGAAGACUGACGCUCAGGUGCGAAAGCGUGGGGAGCAAACAGGAUUAGAUACCCUGGUAGUCCACGCCGUAAACGAUGUCGACUUGGAGGUUGUGCCCUUGAGGCGUGGCUUCCGGAGCUAACGCGUUAAGUCGACCGCCUGGGAGUACGGCCGCAAGGUUAAAACUCAAAUGAAUUGACGGGGGCCCGCACAAGCGGUGGAGCAUGUGGUUUAAUUCGAUGCAACGCGAAGAACCUUACCUGGUCUUGACAUCCACGGAAGUUUUCAGAGAUGAGAAUGUGCCUUCGGGAACCGUGAGACAGGUGCUGCAUGGCUGUCGUCAGCUCGUGUUGUGAAAUGUUGGGUUAAGUCCCGCAACGAGCGCAACCCUUAUCCUUUGUUGCCAGCGGUCCGGCCGGGAACUCAAAGGAGACUGCCAGUGAUAAACUGGAGGAAGGUGGGGAUGACGUCAAGUCAUCAUGGCCCUUACGACCAGGGCUACACACGUGCUACAAUGGCGCAUACAAAGAGAAGCGACCUCGCGAGAGCAAGCGGACCUCAUAAAGUGCGUCGUAGUCCGGAUUGGAGUCUGCAACUCGACUCCAUGAAGUCGGAAUCGCUAGUAAUCGUGGAUCAGAAUGCCACGGUGAAUACGUUCCCGGGCCUUGUACACACCGCCCGUCACACCAUGGGAGUGGGUUGCAAAAGAAGUAGGUAGCUUAACCUUCGGGAGGGCGCUUACCACUUUGUGAUUCAUGACUGGGGUGAAGUCGGAACAAGGUA
rnacentral:rRNA from 1 species